rnacentral:lncRNA from 1 species
AAAGAAAUCUAGGAAAUCUCCGAGCUAGAAAGUACAUUAACUUCCUCCGGAAUGUCCAUUUCUCCCACAUUCCAUAUCUCUCUUGCUUAGUCAUGCUGGGGUCAUAUGGAUUGACCACUGGAGCAAACAUGGCUGCACCUGAAAAUUUAUUAAUGGAUGGAUUAUGACUGGCAGAAUAAUGUACAACUCUUCAAUUGUUUAGGAUCUUUACUUACCCUGAAAGAAGAAGAUACAUCACUUUACUUUUCCAAAACCACUGAAAGCAAGAAUUAUAGUUUUGAAUGAAGCUUGUGUGGUUGUAAAACGUCAUAUGACUUCAAGAUAAAAGAUGUUAAUUCAUGUUAGCGAAGGCAGGGCAGGGUUCAGACUUGUAUGGUGUAAAACUGCUCCCACCCCAUGCACCCACACUACACACAUACACACCCACCAGCACAAAAAGAAAAUAGUCUUGGUAAUAUCAAGAGAAACAUUUUAUUGUAGUUGAAUUGAAUAUUCAAACUAUUGGAUGUAUGUGGUUAGAAAAAUAAAAAUAUCUAACUCUGCCGUUACACUCUAAUCAUAGCCAGAUCCAAGUGUAGUAUGUCCAUAAACAUCUUGUUUCAUGCAACUUAUUCAUAUUCUUUAUGUCCAUCACGUUACUCUUACAAAGCUUUCAACUAUUAAAAACACCUUAAGUUCCAGUAGAAGAUUCAUCCACUCCCAGCUUGAUGCUAGAUAGAACCUUAAAUGUUUCAAUAGUAGCUAGUAAGAGGGCCAUCUGUACCCUAAAUCAAAAAGCUAAAAUCAUUAUCAUUCUUUUGGUAGUCAUUUCUUGACAGGAAAUACAAUCUUUCAGUUGACAUCUUCAAACUUCACUUUAAAUAUAAACAACCGCAACUAAAAUUUUCCCAAGGAAAUAUUUUCCAAAUUAUGUCAUUUUUAAGAUGAGGAAGUUUUCUUUUAGGGAAAUCAGGUGAAAGUUGAUCAAACCAAUGUAUAAUUAUAGCUGAUACGUCUGCAGAUGUGUCAUAACAAAUGAUAUUCUUUCAAGCACACGCAAACUGUUUAAUUUCCGUGCCUUCAGAACUUCAAGCUCCAAAGACUACAUUUUCCUUAAACCUCAUAGCAUCUGUGGCAAUUAUAUUUUCUGAAUGAGAGGUACAGAUACAUGCAAAGUUACUAUUUCCAGUGACCAAGAAAAUACAUAAUCAAUAUGCUUUUAGAGAAAAGAAACAUGAGUUCAACUCAUAUAAAGAGAAAGAGGUUAUUUCCUACUCAGGUUUGUUGUCUAGCGCAGAAAAUACUAAGUAACUAAUGAUGAAAAUCCAUAAAUGACAUGAAAAUAAAAAAUUCAGAAUAGAGGAAUGAAGAUGCAGAGACAAUUGAGAAACAAACACGCUAAAGACAAAUUUACCUGCAAGUCUAUCAGGAAUGUAUCUGAGAGCAGCCCAAGCAUGCAUGCUUCCGCCUGAAUGCCCCACCACCCAGAACUUGCCAUUAACACCCAAAGCAUUUGCUAAGUAUAACAUGUCCAGAGCUGAUGACUCAAGGUUUCUAUUGGGAUGAGGAUCACUCUCCCCAAAACCUGGAAGGUCAUAUGUGACCAGGCGAAUGCCAAACUCUUCUAGCAAGGGAGCUUUAACUCCAGGUAUUCCUAUUGAACAACAUAAUAUGGCAAAAGAAUAGUUAAUGGUGUAUCAAAUGUCAAAAGGAACAAAUAAAAAUCUUUGGACAAAUCACUUCAGCAAACAUGGUGACCAGGCGAAUGCCAAACUCUUCUAGCAAGGGAGCUUUAACUCCAGGUAUUCCUAUUGAACAAUAUAAUAUGGCAAAAGAAUAGUUAAUGGUGUAUCAAAUGUCAAAAGAAACAAAUAAAAAUCCUUGGACAAAUCACUUCAGCAAACAUGGUAAACACUAAAACCUGAUUGAGUCCAAAGGAAGAGGAAAGGAAAGAAAAGGAAAAUGCUGCAAAUCACUUAGAUAUGGCUUCCUUUCUCAAGCUAUUUUAAGAAUUUCCCUGUUCUUCCCCCCAUAAUUUUUGAAAGCCAAAUAGAACCUAAGAUUAUUCUACCUGAAAGUCGAGAGGAGAGAAAAGAAUGAGGAGCCAUCAUCGAAUAUCUAGCUCUUUCAGCUAGAACACCUUGUUCUUGAUAUGCC